UUUUAAGAUAGAGGUGCAGUGUUCAAAAGUAUCUACUGGAAUCCGGGCAGGAUAAUGAAGGUAAGAGAAAGGGAAGGCUGCCGAAGGAAAGACUAUAGCCCAUUGUCAAUCCUGGUGUUACCGAUAAUAUUGAUAACACUGUCAUUAAGUUUUCACCUGAUGAAGUGCUAUCGGAAUU
rnacentral:ncRNA from 2 species